CCCCUCUCAGGGUCGCACCUGGAGAGUUUCCAAUACUCUACCAGACUACAGGAGGGAGAGUGAAGCAGAGGCCUACCCAUUCCAUUCCUAGCUUGGCCAGGGGCUAGCGAGUGGAAGGCAAUCUGCUACAAGU